rnacentral:lncRNA from 1 species
UUUCCAAUUUGAAACAUGGGAAAUGAUUAAUGGAAGAACAAAAAAAAUGUUCAUUUGGUUUCUCUGCAAUUUUGACGUGGGAAAGAGAAAGGGAAUGAGAGGUAACAUACAUAUUCUACAAUUUUGUUUUUAUUUUAUUUUCUUCUUAUUUUAAUUAAAUUUCUUGUGUUAUUUAAUUGUUAUUUACAUAUUCUAAUUGGAAAAGUCAACUAAAUCCUCAUAUUAAAUUGUUUUGAUUAUUUUUAUGUGUAAAAAAAAGAAGGCAGAAAUAGAGAAAAA